rnacentral:rRNA from 1 species
AAUCAACGCUGGCGGCGUGCCUCAGACAUGCAAGUCGAACGAUUAAAGCUCUCUUCGGAGAGUGUAUAGAGUGGCGCACGGGUGAGUAACACGUAAGUAAUCUACCUUUGAGUGGGGAAUAACAGUCGGAAACGACUGCUAAUACCGCAUAAUGCAGCGGCAUCGCAAGAUGACAGUUGUUAAAGGAGCAAUCCGCUUAAAGAGGAGCUUGCGGCAGAUUAGCUAGUUGGUAAGGUAAUGGCUUACCAAGGCUACGAUCUGUAUCCGGUCUAAGAGGACGGUCGGACACACUGACACUGAAUAACGGGUCAGACUCCUACGGGAGGCAGCAGUCGGGAAUUUUGGGCAAUGGGCGAAAGCCUGACCCAGCAACGCCGCGUGAAGGAUGAAGUAUUUCGGUAUGUAAACUUCGAAAGAAUGGGAAGAAUAAAUGACGGUACCAUUUAUAAGGUCCGGCUAACUACGUGCCAGCCGCCGC